rnacentral:lncRNA from 1 species
UUUAGUUAAAAUAAUGUAUUUCGUAUGGCACCCAAUGACAAUGUCAUAAUUGUUGACUUACUUUUUUUUUUUAUAAAUAGACCAAACCAUAAUUUAUUUUUUUCAUAUGUAUAACCCCACGCUCCUAUGAAUUAAGAGAGAGAGAAACGGAGAGAGAGAAAUAAAGAGGGAAAGAGAUGUUCGCGAUCCGACCCGAACCUUCGCGAUCGGACCCGAAUUUAUCUCCAUUUUCCAGCCACCUUACCGACCAAGGAAGGUACCAAUAGAAAGCUUGAGAACUGGCCGUCAUUUCCAUUCCGUCAUUGCCGUCGAUUAUUGGCCGGAAAGCCGUUUAUUGAAGCCGCAAAAUUUGGCGGUGAAGCCGCAUUGUUUCGCCGCUGUUCCGCUAGUUUUGGGUGAGGCGACCAGUUGGAUUUUGUUCCCCACAAUCCCCUCUGUCCUUUCCGACCAUCCACUGAGCCGGGAACUGCCCUGUCCCGGCCGGUCAGCCGUUGGAAAGUUCAUGGCUUUGGGAGCUCGAUCAGCCACCGUCGCCGCGCGUCGAUCGUCACCGCCGCCACCAUCGGACUCAGCGUGGUUGGAACUCUCAGGCUAGAGCUUCCCGACGGCCUUUGGUUGACUUUCGGUCAUCGUUGACCAGUAAGGCCAUUUCGGUAAUUUCGUAUCCGAGGGCAAUUUUAUAGUUUCACACUUUGCGGGUAUUUUAGUAAUUGUAUAAAUCAAGAAUAGGCUGGUAAUUUACGAUUUUGAGAUUAACUUGGUAAAUUAUGAUUUUGGGGGUAUUCUAAUAAUGUUAGAAUUUGAGGGUAUUUUGGUAAUUUUGUUAAAUUUGAAGGCGAUUUUAUAAUUUUUGGAUUUGUGCAUAUUUUGGUAGUUUCUGAAUUGGAGAAUAAUUAGUAAUUUAUGAAAUUGAGAAUGAUUUGGUAGUUUAUAAUUUUGGAAUUUUUAGAUUAUUUAUGUGAUUUAUGAGUUUGAGGGCAUUUCGAUGAAGGUUGGGUUAUUUGAACUCAACAAACGCCUCACUAAAUCUAUUUUUGAGAUUAAUCUUUUAUGAUUAAAAUACUCUUAAAUUAAAUUACAAUUAUGGAUAUUAAAAUAUAAUAAAAAAACAGAAUUUUAAUUUUUUCAGCCCAUUUAUACAUCAACAUAAUUUUGUUAAAUCAUAAUCUUAUUUUCAUUAAAUCCUAAUUAACUAGAGGCAUGAAUUACGAGUGGCAAUCUUUUACUUUCAAUUAUCUUCCUACGGUUUGAUGCGCAUUCAAAUGGAGCUCAUCAUCGAUCAUUGAGUCAUGUGCUCUGAUUAUAAUAUUAAUCCUUAAAUUUUCUGAAAACUUUAAUUAUCAUUAAUCAAAAGCAAAUUGUAUUUUAAUUAACGGGUUAAAUUUCUUUUCUUUUCAAUUUGGCCAUUUAGUGGAGCCGAAUUAAGCUAAGCCGCAUCACCAUUCACCAAUGGUAGCUCAGCCUCUCCGCUAACAAUAGGCAUGGCUGAUUCUCAAUUAUCUGAUUAUCAUCACAAGCUCAAGUAGCACCUACGCUAACAAAUUCAUUUUGAUUUAAUUACCAUCUCCAUCGGUGUUAAAAAAAAUAAAUGAUUUCAAUGAAGAUUUAUAAAUGAAGUUAAUGGAUUUAGCGAGUUAAAAUAUUAUUAUUAUAAAAAUUGAGUUUAGUGAGUGUAUAUUAAGUAUUUAUCCGUACUAAUAUUUUAGCAUCCUAAUGAUUUCAAUUUAUCCAAUAAAUAUACAAUUGAAUCAUCUUAUAAAAUAAGUAUCUAAUCCUACUUUGAAGUAUUAAAAAAAGAAAAAAAAAGUUGAAUUGAAGACAUAUUUGAAAAUAAAAUAAAUUUUAUUAUUUAAUAAAAUUAUAAAAAUGCAAGGGGUAUAUCCAAAAGUUUCCGGGGUCUAGCCCAGGCUUGCUGUCUUAAGCAAAAAUUCGAAUCAAAUCAAAAUUAAAUUCUUUUUCUCCUCUCAUUUUUUAGAUGGGUUUCUUUGAUAGCCAAUCGAGAUCAAAAAAAGAAAUGGCAAAGGGAGAAUGAAUACAAGUAAAAAAAAAAAAAAAGAAGAAUAAGAAUAAUAAUUUAAGUGACUAGAUUUUUUCUUUCCUUGAAAUAUUGUCAUGUCGAUAAUUUUCUCUGCUAUAAUUUAUUAAUAAAAUUUAAUCGACAUAUGCGUGAAGAAGAAGUGCAAUUUUUCAUGAGAGAUUGAAAAGUGACUAACAUGAAGUUAACUUUUUUCUUCAGUUAGUAAUUUCAGUUAGUUUUAAAAACGUUAUGUUUUUUACAUCUAAAUAAAAUAUAGAUAGGAGGACAGGGGUAGAAACUCUUACAUCAAGUGAGAAUAAGUUUUUAUGUACUAUAUAUAUAUAUAUAAGAGGAGAUUAUGGUGAUAGGUAAGAUUAAAUUUAUUAACAAAAAUUUAAAAACAUCUUAUUAAUAUAAAAUUAUAAAAAAAUAAAUAAAUACUCACCUUAGAAUUUCUUAAAUACCAUGUUUCAAAAUCUCUUAUAAAGUUUAGGAAAAAAAAAUUGAAGUUGAAAAUUUACAAAUCAUUUUCCUAAUUUGAGAAGAUAUAUAAGUUUAGUGAAACUUAAUAAGUCUUUUCCUUCUUCCUUUUCCUUAACUAGUCAGGCUUUCAUUUUCCUUGACUAGUUAGGAUAUACAUCCUUAUAUAAAGAUGCUUACAUUGAGCUCCCAAAUCCCAACUUCGCAAUAGAGUUAAUAAAUUAGAAGGUAUCGAGUUCUUGGUUUUCAGUUUUUUCUUGAAUCGUCGAUCAAAAAACUUGAUUAGCUAUGAAGCAGAAGGCAAUUGACUCCGAAGAAGGAUGGGACUAUUUGGAUCGGGGAAUCACAAAAUUGAAGAGGAUUUUCGAAGGAUUGCCGGAGCCAACGUUUAAUUUGGAGGAUUACAUGAUGCUUUACACAACCGUAUACAAUAUUUAUUCUGAGUCGACUUAUCCUCUUGACAAAAAUAGCAAACAGUUGUAUAACAAUUACAAGCAAAUACUUGAAGAUUAUAUGCCAUCAAAGGUAUUGCCAUCUUUGAGAGAGAAGCACGAUGAGUAUGAUUUGUUGAAGGAGCUUUUGAAAAGCUGGGCUAAUCAUAAAUUUUUGGUUAAAUGGCUUUCACUCGUCUUCCUUCCUCUUCAAGUUGAAUUCGCUUAUAUUACUCGAAAGAAACUUCCUAAACUUAAUGCGUUUGGACUUUCUUGCUUCCGGGAUCUGGUGUUUGAUGCUAUAAAGGACAAAGUCAAGGAUGCUGUAAUUGCUUUAAUCGAUAGAGAACGCGAGGGAGAAGAGAUUGACAGAACGUUGGUGAAGAAUGUAUUGAAUUUAUUCGUUGAGAUUGACGAGGGGAAGAUGCAUUGUUACGAAAAGGAUUUUGAAGAACAUAUGCUUCAGGAUACGGGGGCUUAUUAUUCUCGCAAGGCAUCAAAUUGGAUUCUUCAGGAUUCGAGUGAAGAUUACAUGCUCAAGGUUGGUGAAUGCUUGAAGAAAGAAAGAGGGAGAGCGUCUCAUUACCUGCAACCAAGCAGCGAGCGGAAAUUGACGGACAUACUAGAACAUGAGUUGUUGGUGGUGCGUGCAAGUCAGCUUCUUGAAGAAGGAGAAUUUGGAUGCAGACAAUUGCCUAGAGGAGAUAAGGUGGAUGAUCAUUCGAUUAUCUGCUGUGACAGCGAGAAAUCGAGGAAUGAAUUAGGCAUUGGAGAAACAUUGGAGUAGGUUCUUAGAUUGUGAUGCACACCAAGAAACCCUAAAGUUCCUAGUCAAUUUCAAGUCUAUUAAUUUUAUAAUUUCUAUUCCAUUGGAUUUUUUUUUUUUCCUUGAGCACUAAUUAAUUGGCAUUGCUGCCUUAGAUAUCGUGAUGAGUAAGCAUGCCGAUGAAUAUGUUUUAUACAUUAAUUAAAAAUUUUAGACAACCCCAUAGAUAAAGAUAGACCUAAGAACUAAUUAUGAACAAAAUAGUAAUGGGUAUAAAUUGCCUUCUCAAUAAUUAUUCGUUGCAUUGUGGUUCAUACGAAAGAAUAUGAAUAAGUUAUCAUUAUUUGUUCUUCUUUUCCUUUCUAAUUUUUUUUUUAGCGACUUCUUCAAUCCUUUCUCUCCCUAUCCCCAAUUAUUUUGAGAUUUCUCUUCACCAUUCGUUAAUUUUCCUUUUCAAUAAAUUUUGAAUGUAUUUCAUGAAUCCAAUUUGGUAAGCCAAUGUGUAUAACAAAAUCUCUCACCCCACCAACCAACCAUUUUUCUUAUUUUUCUUUCUUCAUAUAAAGUUCUUGUCUAAGAAUAGAGAAUUCACUUCCAGAUCACAAGUAUAUGGGCUUGGAAGUUGUUUUCCAGCUAAAACUUUUGGGCCAACAAUCAAGGCCUAUCAAGCAAACAACUUUUGUCCUCCUGCACUUACCUCGUUUCGUUGAUAAAGAAAAUCCCUUAAGUUGAUGAAUUUGUGCUUCGUAAUCCUAAUUGUUUGAAUUCCGUCAAGCAAUGCAACAGAACACAAAAUGUCCUUUUCACCCUUAGGAUUUAAUAUAAUACAUAUUUCAUCCCUAUAUUUUAAAUAAUAGUGUAAAGUAUUCUUUCAUUAAUUUGCCAUUAGUUUAUUAUAUUUUUUUUGCAAGCUCCAUUAGCAUACUUGGUAGUUUGCAUACAAUUUUUGACAAUUUAAUUUUUUAAAAUUAAAAAUUAAUAUAAUUUUUUUAUAUUUAGGGCUAAAUUAGUAAUUUAAUUAUUUUCUUUUUAUUAAUGUCCAAGUAAAAAAAUAAUUAUAAAUGGGCAAUAUUGUUAAAGUAAGACAAAAGAAAUAAAAAGUAACAAUAUGAAUAUCAAUACUUUAACGGCAGAGAUUUAAAAAAAUACAAGGACUAAAUAAAUAUUAAUCUUAAAAUAUAGAGACUAAAUGAUCUUUUAUCCUUUACACAACCGUAUACAAUAUUUGUUCCCAGCCGGAUCGUCUUCUUGAUGAAGAUCCCAAACAGCUGUAUGACAAGUAAAAGCAAGUACUUGAAGAUUAUAUGCCAUGAAAGGCAUUGCCAUCUUUGAGAGAGAAGCACGAUGAGUAUCAUUUGUUGAGGGAGCUUUUGAAAAGCUGGGCUAAUAAUGAAAUUUUGGUUAAAUGGCUUUCACGCGUCUUCCUUCCUCUUCAGGUAGGUUAUAUUCCUCGAAGGAAACUUCCUAAACUUAAUGCGAUUUUAAAGGAAAUAAAUGAUGAAAUUAUGAAAAUAUUGUUAAUUGUUAUUAUAUCAUUGAGUAAUAAUAAGAAUCUUAAUAUUAAAGUUUUAAUUUGCGUUCUAAAGUUCAUUUUAAAUUAGUUUAGGAGGUUUAAAAGUGAUUUUAAAAAUUUAAAAAUUAAUUUUAAUAUUUCAUAAAAAAAUUAAAAUUAUUUUUUAUCAAAAUCAGUCCAUAUGAUUUUAAAUUUAAAUUUAAAUUUAGAGAAUUAAUUUUAUAUUUUAAUACAAUUUUAAUUUUAUCCUCUACCAUUAUACUUUGAGUAAUGAUACAACCACAAACUCUUGUACAAAUUUAUUUUAUACAAACUGAUGUGGCAUGAUAAGAUUGAUUGAAUUAAAAAUCACUUGGCCCACAUGAUUUGUUUUUAUUAUUUUAUAUUUUCAUUCAACCAAUGAAUUAAUGACACGUCAGUUUAUACAAAAUAAAUUUAUAUAAAAAUUUAUAGCUGUAUCAUUACUCUUAUACUUUAGUUAAAAUAAUGUGUUUCGUAUUGCACCCAAUGACAAUGUCAUUAUUGUUGACAUACUCUUUUUUUUUUAAAUAGACCAAACCAUUUUUUUUUUUUUCUGUGUAUUACCCCACGCCCCUAUGAAUUAAGAGAGAGAGAAACGAAGAGAGAGAAAGAAAGAGGGAAAGAGAUGGGAGCGAUCCGACCCGAACCUUCGCGAUCGGACCCGAAUUUAUCUCCAUUUUCCAGCCACCUUACCGACCAAGGAAGGUACCAAUAGAAAGCUUGAGAACUGGCCGUCAUUUCCAUUACGUCAUCGCCGUCGAUUAUUGGCCGGAAAGCCGUUUAUUGAAGCCGCAAAAUUUUGCGGUGAAGCCGCAUUGUUUCGCCGCUGUUCCGCCAGUUUUGGGUGAGGCGACCAGUUGGAUUUUGUUCCCCACAAUCCCCUCUGUCCUUUCCGACCAUCCACUGAGCCGGGAACUGCCCUGUCCCGGCCGGUCAGCCGUUGGAAAGUUCAUGGCUUUGGGAGCUCGAUCAGCCACCGUCGCCGCGCGUCGAUCGUCACCGCCGCCACCAUCGGACUCAGCGUGGUUGGAACUCUCAGGCUAGAGCUUCCCGACCGCAUUUGGUUGGCUUUCGGUCACCUUUGACCAGCAAGGCCAUUUCGGUAAUUUCGUAUCCGAGGGCAAUUUUAUAAUUUCAUACUUUGCGGGUAUUUUAGUAAUUGUAUAAAUUGAGAAUAGGCUGGUAAUUUACGAUUUUGAGAUUAACUUGGUAAAUUAUGAUUUUGGGGGUAUUCUAAUAAUGUUAGAAUUUGAGGGUAUUUUGGUAAUUUUGUUAAAUUUGAGGCGAUUUUAUAAUUUUUGAAUUUGUGCAUAUUUUGGUAGUUUCUGAAUUGGAGAAUAAUUAGUAAUUUAUGAAAUUGAGAAUGAUUUGGUAGUUUAUAAUUUUGGAAUUUUUAGAUUAUUUAUGUGAUUUAUGAGUUUGUGGGCAUUUCGAUGAAGGUUGUGUUAUUUGAACUCAACAAACGGCUCACUAAAUUUAUUUUUGAGAUUAAUUUUUUAUAAUUAAAAUAUUUUUAAAUUAAAUUACAAUUAUGGAUAUUAAAAUAUAAUAUAAAAAAACAGAAUUUUAAUUUUUUCAGCCCAUCUAUACAUCAACAUAAUUUUGUUAAAUCAUAAUCUUAUUUUCAUUAAAUCCUAAUUAACUAGAGGCAUGAAUUACGAGUGGCAAUCUUUUACUUUCAAUUAUCUUCCUACGGUUUGAUGCGCAUUCAAAUGGAGCUCAUCAUCGAUCAUUGAGUCAUGUGCUCUGAUUAUAAUAUUAAUCCUUAAAUUUUCUGAAAACUUUAAUUAUCAUUAAUCAAAAGCAAAUUUGAUUUUAAACAACGGGUUAAAUUUCUUUUCUUUUCAAUUUGGCCAUUUAGUGGAGCCGAAUUAAGCUAAGCCGCAUCACCAUUCACCAAUGGUAGCUCAGCCUCUCCGCUAACAAUAGGCAUGGCUGAUUCUCAAUUAUCUGAUUAUCAUCACAAGCUCAAGUAGCACCUACGCUAACAAAUUCAUUUUGAUUUAAUUACCAUCUCCAUCGGUGUUAAAAAAAAUAACUGAUUUCAUUGAAGAUUUAUAAAUGAAUUUAAUGGAUUUAGCGAGUAAAAAUAUUAUUAUUAUAAAAAUUGAGUUUAGUAAGUGUAUAUUAAAUAUUUAUCCGUACUAAUAUUUUAGCAUCCUAAUGAUUUCAAUUUAUCCAAUAAAUAUACAAUUGAAUCAUCUUAUAAAAUAAGUAUCUAAUCCUACUUUGAAGUAUUAAAAAAAGAAAAAAAAAGUUGAAUUGAGGACAUAUUUUAAAAUAAAAUAAAAUUUAUUAUUUAAUAAAAUUUUAAAAAUGCAAGGGGUAUAUCCAAAAGUUUCCGGGGUCUAGCCCAGGCUUGCUGUCUUAAGCAAAAAUUCGAAUCAAAUCAAAAUUAAAUUCUUUUUCUCCUCUCAUUUUAUAGCUAAAUUUCGAUAAUUGGAAAACUAGACUAACGACACAAAGUCUUGAAAACAAAAUGGUUUGAUGGGUUUCUUUGAUAGCCAAUCGAGAUCAAAAAAGAAAUGGCAAAGGGAGAAUGAAUACAAGUAAAAAAAAAAAAGAAGAAUAAGAAUAAUAAUUUAAGUGACUAGAUUUUUUCUUUCCUUGAAAUAUUGUCAUGUCGAUAAUUUUCUCUGCUAUAAUUUAUUAAUAAAAUUUAAUCGACAUAUGCGUGAAGAAGAAGUGCAGUUUUUCAUGAGAGAUUGAAAAGUGACUAACAUGAAGUUAACUUUUUUCUUCAGUUAGUAAUUUCAGUUAGUUUUAAAAACGUUAUGUUUUUGACAUCUAAAUAAAAUAUAGAUAGGAGGACAGGAGUAGAAACUCUUACAUCAAGUGAGAAUAAGUUUUUAUGUACUAUAUAUAUAUAAGAGAGAUUAUGGUGAUAGGUAAGAUUAAAUUUAUUAACAAAAAUUUAAAAACAUCUUAUUAAUAUAAAAUUAUAAAAAAAUUAAAUACUCACCUUAGAAUUUCUUAAAUACCAUGUUUCAAAAUCUCUUACAAAGUUAAGAAAAAAAAAAUUGAAGUUGAAAAUUUACAAAUCUUUUUCCUAAUUUGAGAAGAUAUAUAAGUUUAGUGAAACUUAAUAAGUCUUUUCCUUGACUAAUUAGGCUUUCCUUUUCCUUAACUAGUUAGGAUAUACAUCCUUAUAUAAAGACGCUUACAUUAAGCUCUCAAAUCCCAACUUCGCAAUAGAGUUAAUAAAUUGGAAGGAAUCGAGUUCUUGGUUUUCAGUUUUUUCUUGAAUCGUCGAUCGAAAAACUUGAUUAGCAAUGAAGCGCAAGGCAUGUGACUCCGAAGAAGGAUGGGACUAUUUGGAGCGGGGAAUCACAAAAUUGAAGAGGAUUUUCGAAGGAUUGCCAGAGCCAGCGUUUAAUUUGGAGGAUUACAUGAUGCUUUACACAACCGUAUACAAUAUUAACUCCCAGCGGACUUAUCCUCUUGACAAAAAUAGCAAACAAUUGUAUAACAAUUACAAGCAAGUACUUGAAGAUUAUAUGCCAUCAAAGGUAUUGCCAUCUUUGAGAGAGAAGCACGAUGAGUAUGAUUUGUUGAGGGAGCUUUUGAAAAGCUGGGCUAAUCAUAAAUUUUUGGUUAAAUGGCUUUCACUCGUCUUCCUUCCUCUUCAAGGUGAAGGCGCUUAUAUUACUCGAAAGAAACUUCCUAAACUUAAUGCGUUUGGACUUUCUUGCUUCCGGGAUCUGGUGUUUGAAGCUAUAAAGGACAAAGUCAAGGAUGCUGUAAUUGCUUUAAUCGAUAGAGAACGCGAGGGAGAAGAGAUUGACAGAACGUUGGUGAAGAAUGUAUUGAAUUUAUUCGUUGAGAUUGACAAGGGGAAGAUGCAUUGUUACGAAAAGGAUUUUGAAGAACAUAUGCUUCAGGAUACGGGGGCUUAUUAUUCUCGCAAGGCAUCAAAUUGGAUUCUUCAGGAUUCGAGUGAAGAUUACAUGCUCAAGGUUGGUGAAUGCUUGAAGAAAGAAAGAGGGAGAGCGUCUCAUUACCUGCAACCAAGCAGCGAGCGGAAAUUGACGGACAUACUAGAACAUGAGUUGUUGGUGGUGCGUGCAAGUCAGCUUCUUGAAGAUGGAGAAUUUGGAUGCAGACAAUUGCCUAGAGGAGAUAAGGUGGAUGAUCAUUCGAUUAUCUGCUGUGACAGCGAGAAAUCGAGGAAUGAAUUAGGCAUUGGAGAAACAUUGGAGUAGGUUCUUAGGUUGUGAUGCACACUACGAAACCCUAAAGUUCCUAGUCAAUUUCAAGUCUAUUAAUUUUAUAAUUUCUAUUCCAUUGGAUUUUUUUUUCCUGAAGCACUAAUUAAUUGGCAUUGCUGCCAUAGAUAUCGUGAUGAGUACGCGUACCGAUGAAUAUGUUUUAUACAUUAAUUAAAAAUUUUAGACAACCCUAUAGAUAAAGAUAGACCUAAGAACUAAUUAUGAACAAAAUAGUAAUGGGUAGAAAUUGUCUUCUUGACAAUUAUUCGUUGCAUUGCGGUUCAUACGAAAGAACAUGAAAAAUUAUCAUUAUUUGUUCUUCUUUUCCUUUCUAAUUUUUUUUUUUAGCGACUUCUUCAAUCCUUUCUCUCGCUAUCCCCAAUUAUUUUGAGAUUUCUCUUCACCAUUCGUUAAUUUUACUUUUCAAUAAAUUUUGAAUGUAUUUCAUGAAUCCAAUUUGGUAAGCCAAUGUGUAUAACAAAAUCUCUCACCCCACCAACCAACCAUUUUUCUUAUUUUUCUUUCUGCAUAUAAAGUUCUUGUCUAAGAAUAGAGAAUUCACUUCCCAGAUCACAAGAAUAUGGGCUUGGAAGUUAUUUACCAGCUAAAACUUUUGGGCCAACAAUCAAGGCCUAUCAAGCAAACAACUUUUGUCCUCCUGCACUUACCUCGUUUCGUUGAUAAAGAAAAUCCCUUAAGUUGAUGAAUUUGUGCUUCGUAAUCCUAAUUGUUUGAAUUCCGUCAAGCAAAGCAACAGAACAGAAAAUGUCCUUUUCACCCUUAGGAUUUAAUAUGAUACAUAUUUCAUCCCUAUAUUUUAAAUAAUAGUGUAAAGUAUUGUUCCGUUAAUUUGCCAUUAGUUUAUUAUAAUUUUUUUGCAAGCUCCAUUUGCAUACUUGGUAGUUUGCAUACAAUUUUUGACAAUUUAAUUUUUAAAAAUUAAAAAUUAAUAUAAAUUUUUUAUUUUUAUUUUUAGGGCUAAAUUAGUAAUUUAAUUAUUUUCUUUUUAUUAAUGUCCAAGCAAAAAAAUUAUUAUAAAAGGACAAUAUUGUUAAAGUAAGACAAAAGAAAUAAAAAGUAACAGUGUGAAUAUCAAUACUUUAAGGGUAAAGAUUUUAAAAAAUAUAAGGAUUAAAUAAAUAUUAAUCUUAAAAUAUAGAGACUAAAUGAUCUUUUAUCUUUUACACAACCGUAUACAAUAUUUGUUCUCAGUCGGCUCGUCCUCUUGAUGAAGAUCCUAAACAGCUGUAUGACAAGUAAAAGCAAGUACUUCAAGAUUAUAUGCCAUGAAAGGCAUUGCCAUACUUGAGAGAGAAGCACGAUGAGUAUCAUUUGUUGAGGGAGCUUUUGAAAAAUUGGGCUAAUCAUGAAUUUUUGGUUAAAUGGCUUUCACGCGUCUUCCUUCCUCUUCAAUUCGGUUAUAUUCCUCGAAGGAAACUUUCUGAACUUAAUGCGAUUGUAAAGGAAAUAAAUCAUGAAAUUACGAAAAUAUUGUUAAUUGUUAUUAUAUCAUUGAGUAAUAAUAAGAAUCUUAAUAUUCAAAUUUUAAUUUGAGUUCUAAGGUUCAUUUUAAAUUAUUUUAUCAGGUUUACAAAUAAUUUUAAAAAUUUAAAAAUUAAUUUUAAUAUUUAAUAAAAAAUUAAAAUUAUUUUUUAUCAAAAUCAGCCCAGAUACUUUUAAAUUUAAAUUUAGAGAAUUAAUUUUAUAUUUUAAUACAAUAUUAAUUGUAUCCUCUACCAUUGUACUUUAGUUAAAAUAAUGUAUUUCGUAUUGCACCCAAUGACCAUGUCAUAAUUGUUGACAUACUUUUUUUUUUAAAAAUAAACCAAACCAUAAUUUUUUUUUCAUAUGUAUUACCCCACACCCCUAUGAAUUAAGAGAGAGAGAAAUGAAGAGAGAGAAAGAAAGAGGGAAAGAGAUGGGAGUGAUCCGACCCGAACCUGCGCGAUCCGACCCGAAUUUAUCUCCAUUUUCCGGCCACCUUACCGACCAAGGAAGGUGCCAGUAGAAAGCUUGAGAACUGACCGUCAUUUCCAUUCCGUCAUUGCCGUCGAUUAUUGGCCGGAAAGCCGCUUAUUGAAGCCGCAUUGUUUCACCGCUAUUUUGCCAGUUUUGGGUGAGGCCACCAGUUGGAUUUUGUUCCCCACAAUCCCCUCUGUCCUUUUCGACCAUCCACUGAACCGGGAACUGCCCUUUCCCGGCCGGUCAGCCGUUGGAAAGUUCAUGGCUUUGGGAGCUCGAUCAGCCACCGUCGCCGCGCGUCGAUCGUCACCGCCGCUACCAUCGGACUCAGCGUGGUUGGAACUCUCAGGCUAGAGCUUCCCGACCGCCUUUGGUUGACUUUGGGUCACCGUUGACCAGCAAGGCCAUUUCGGUAAUUUCGUAUUCGAGGGCAAUUUUGUAAUUUCACACUUUGCGGGUAUUUUAGUAAUUGUAUAAAUUGAGAAUAGGCUGGUAAUUUACUAUUUUGAGGUUAACUUGGUAAAUUAUGAUUUUGGGGGUAUUCUAAUAAUGUUAGAAUUUGAGGGUAUUUUGGUAAUUUUGUUAAAUUUGAAGGCGAUUUUAUAAUUUUUGAAUUUGUGCAUAUUUUGGUAAUUUCUGAAUUGGAGAAUAAUUAGUAAUUUAUGAAAUUGAGAAUGAUUUGGUAGUUUAUAAUUUUGGAAUUUUUAGAUUAUUUAUGUGAUUUAUGAGUUUGAGGGCAUUUCGAUGAAGGUGGGGCUAUUUGAACUCAACAAACGGCUCAAUAAAUCUAUUUUUGAGAUUAAUUUUUAUGAUUAAAAUAUUUUUAAAUUAAAUUACAAUUAUGAAUAUUAAAAUAUGAUAAAAAAACAGAAUUUUUAUUUUUUCAGCCCAUCUAUACAUUCAACAUAAUUUUAUUAAAUCAUAAGUUUAUUUUCAUUAAAUCCUAAUUAACUAGAGGCAUGAAUUACGAGUGGCAAUCUUUUACUUUCAAUUAUCUUCCUACGGUUUGAUGCGCAUUCAAAUGGAGCUCAUCAUCGAUCAGUGAGUCAUGUGCUCUGAUUAUAAUAUUAAUCCUUAAAAU